rnacentral:rRNA from 1 species
UUGAACGCUAGCGGGAUGCUUUACACAUGCAAGUCGAACGGCAGCGCGGACUUCGGUCUGGCGGCGAGUGGCGAACGGGUGAGUAAUGUAUCGGAACGUGCCCAGUAGCCGGGGAUAACUACGCGAAAGCGUAGCUAAUACCGCAUACGCCCUACGGGGGAAAGCAGGGGAUCGUAAGACCUUGCACUAUUGGAGCGGCCGAUAUCGGAUUAGCUAGUUGGUGAGGUAACGGCUCACCAAGGCGACGAUCCGUAGCUGGUUUGAGAGGACGACCAGCCACACUGGGACUGAGACACGGCCCAGACUCCUACGGGAGGCAGCAGUGGGGAAUUUUGGACAAUGGGGGCAACCCUGAUCCAGCCAUCCCGCGUGUGCGAUGAAGGCCUUCGGGUUGUAAAGCACUUUUGGCAGGAAAGAAACGUCGCGGGCUAAUACCCCGUGGAACUGACGGUACCUGCAGAAUAGGCACCGGCUAACUACGUG